rnacentral:rRNA from 1 species
GGGACCCGUCUUGAAACACGGACCAAGGAGUCUAGCAUGUGCGCGAGUCAUUGGGUGUCUGCGAAACCUAAAGGCGUAAUGAAAGUGAAGGGAGGAUGGGCCGCCUCCGGGUCGGCCCCGCACUCCCGGGGCGUCUCGUUCUCACUGCGAGAUGAGGCGCACCAAGAGCGUACACGCUGGGACCCGAAAGAUGGUGAACUAUGCCUGGUCAGGACGAAGUCAGGGGAAACCCUGAUGGAGGUCCGUAGCGAUUCUGACGUGCAAAUCGAUCGUAGGAACUGGGUAUAGGGGCGAAAGACUAAUCGAACCAUCUAGUAGCUGGUUCCCUCCGAAGUUUCCCUCAGGAUAGCUGGCGCUCGUCGUGUGCGAGUCUCAUCCGGUAAAGCGAAUGAUUAGAGGCAUUGGGGUCGAAACGGCCUCAACCUAUUCUCAAACUUUAAAUGGGUGAGAUCUCCGGCUUGCUUGAACGAGUGAAGCCGCGAGAUGUGGAUCAGAGUGCCAAGUGGGCCACUUUUGGUAAGCAGAACUGGCGCUGUGGGAUGAACCAAACGCAGAGUUAAAGCGCCUAAAUCGACGCUUAUGGGAUACCAUGAAAGGCGUUGGUAACUUAAGACAGCAGGACGGUGGCCAUGGAAGUCGGAA